rnacentral:misc_RNA from 1 species
AUAACAGCAAGGAGCAGACACUUCGCACCAACCCUCACCCCAGGGUUGUCCUGAACAAGUGUUCUUCCUUGUCGGAGGAAGCGGCAAGGCAAGCAAUGGCAAAUAGUAAUAUUUCGGGGGAAGAGAGAGAGAGAGAGAGAGAGAGAGAGAGAGUCGAUUGGGUGCAAAAGAGAAGGCAAAAACCCGCAAAAGCGAAGCGCUCGGAGAGGGAAGGAAAGGGAAAAGGGAAAAAAAUCUUGGAGCAGGGGAGGAGGAUAGGGAAUCGGGGGAACGCGAACCUCUCGGAGCAAAUCCUUGCCGCGCCUAGUGGUUUCUUCUUCUUCUUCACUCUCGUCUCCUCAUCGGGCUUUGCUGUGGGCGCACGGAGGGGGAAAAAGGCUGGUUUGGAUUUGGAGCAGAGAAGAGCAGGGCGGGCGGGGUCCUUCCACCGGCUCACCGCUGGCGGGAUACGCAGCUCCGCGCUGGUGCGGUCGCAGGGCACGCAGGUCCGGUCAGCGGAGUGGGGAGAGGCGCGGCCGCGCGCGUCUCAUCCGGUCAGUCGUCACAUCCAAGGGGCGGAAAAAACAAGUCAAGGAUGGUCUCCCGCUCCGCGGCUCCGGUGUCCGGUCUCCACUCGUUGCCUUCGGCUUGGCUGUGGCUGCCUCCAGCCCUGGAGUGGACCGCUCGCUCCAGCCGAGAGGAGCAGAGAGCUAGAGACGAGUCUCUCUACAC